GCGGGAUCUUUCUUUGUGGCAGCGCUGGGAGGGGUCCCCGGGGCUGCUGCUGAGCGGGCUCAGGUGCCUCAGGGGCUGCGCUGUGUGACCUUCCUGCACCGCAGGAGCCGCCCACGGACCCCAGAAUGCCGCGGAAGCGAGGAAAUGAGGCCUGAGGUGGCUCAGGGACAAAUACAGGGCCACGGAGAGUGGCCAAUCCAAAGUGGAUUUCAUGGGAGACCCCGAGGAGAUCAGCCAUUAACCCGUUAAUCACGUGCAGGGGCUCAAGCACUUGGACUGUCUUCUACUGCUUUCCCAGGCAACAGCAGAGAGCUGGAUUGGAAGAGGAGCAGCUGGGACUAGAACUGGCACCCAUAUGGCAUACCAGCACUGCAGACGGAUGCAAUGGCUGGAGCUGCAGCAAUCCAAAGCCAGGAGCCAGGAGCUUCUUCUGGGUCUCCCACAUGGGUGCAGGGGCCCAAGGACUUGAGCCAUUUUCUACUGCUUUCCCAGGCCAUAGCAGAGAGCUGGAUCAGAAGAGGAGCAGCUGGGACUAGAACCAGUGCCUACAUGGUAUGCCGGUGCUUCAGGCCAGGGCUUUAACCCACUACACCACAGUGCUGGUCCUGACCUUUCUUUCUUAUGGGAGUCCCUAUUGUAUGGGAUGUAAUUUCCAGCAAAAGGCUUUGUCACAAUGGUUAUGUUGAUUUUGGGAAAAGUCCUUCACAUUCAUUAUAUUCUUAAGUUCUCUCCCUUGUUUCAACUACAUGUGUUACGAGGUAUUACUUCUGACAAAAGUCUUUCUCACAUUUAUUACAAGAUUUCCACCAUGUAAUAAAUUCUCUGAUAUUGUGAUUUUGGCAGAGUUUUCCAACACUCAUUCCAUUCAUAAGGUUUUUCCCCCAUGUGAAUUCUCUGAUGUUUUAUGAGGUGUUACUUAUAGAUAAAAGAUUCCCCAUAUGCAUUAUAUUCAAAGGGUUUUCCUCCUAUAUGAGUUAGAUGAUGUCCAAUGAGGGCUGAAUUAUGGAAAAAAGCUUUCCAAGUCAUUAUGUUCAAAAGGCUUUUCUUCAUGUGAAUUUUCUGAUGCAUUCUCAGAUGUGACUUAUUGCGAAGGGCUUUUCUACAGUCAUUGAAUUCAUGAGGUUUCUCCCCGGUGUUAAUUCUCUGGUGUGACAUGAGCUAUGAUUUAACAAAAGGUUUUCCCACACUCAUUAGAUUCAUAAGGUUUCUGCCCUGUAUGAAUUCUGUUUCAAUAUGAGGUAUAAUUUAUACAAAAAGGCUUUUCCACAGUCAUACAAAUUUUAAAUUUAUUUCCCUGUGUGAAUCCUCUGAUGCAUUUGGAGUUGGAACUUAAGACCAAAGGCUUUUCCACAGUCAUUACAUUCAUGAGGUUUCUGCCCUGUGUGAAUUUGCUGAUUGUUUAUGAGGUGUGAAUUUUGUGUAAAGGCUUUUUCACAGUCAUCAUAUUCAUGAGGUUUCUCCCUUGUGUUAAUUCUCUCAUGCAUUAUAAGGUUUGACUUUUGUCCAAAAGCUUUUCCAUAGUCAUUACAUUCAUAAGGUGAAUUAAAACUGAGUGAUUUUCCACAAGGUUUACAUGUGUAGAGUUUUUCCUUUGUAUUUAGCCUCUGAUUUAUUGCAAGAUGUGACUGGUGAAUGACAGGUUCAACAUACCUAAUGUAUUCAUAAAAUUUCUCUCUUGUGUGAGUUUGUUGAUGCAUAUUGAAGCUAGAAUUUUCAUGGAUAGUUUUUUCUAUUUGAGAUGCUUUUCCAAAAGUGACAGUUGACUUAUUAUGAUUUUCUGCCAUAUGAACUCUCUCAGAUUUACAACACAUCUUUCUUGUGAAGACUUUUGCUUGUCCACUGGGUCCAAAUGGCUGCUCCAUGAUGUGAGUCUUGUCAUGCUGACCAAGAGGCUCACAGAACUGGAGAGAAUUUCCAGAAACAUGUGGAGGACCCAGAAUCAUACCUGGAAGAGAAGGUAAAUGGAAGUUCAAAGAAAACUCUGGAGGCCAAUGCUGUGGCAUAAUGGGUAAAGCUGCUGCUUGCAGUGCAUGCAUUCCAUAUGGGUGCCAGUUCAAGUCCUGCCUGCUCAAUGUACAAUCUAACUCUCCGCUAUGUCCUGAGAAAGCAGUGAAACAUGGUCCAAGUCCUUGGGCCACUGCACCUGCAUGGGAGAUCCAGAAGCUCUUGGGUCUUGGCUUUGGCUCAGCUCAGCUCUGGCCUUUGCAGUAAUUUGGAGGGUGAGCCAGCAGAUGGAAGACUUUCUCUCUCUCUCUCUCUGCAACACUUUCAAGUAAA